rnacentral:lncRNA from 1 species
CUGAAUCGAUGAAUGUUAUAUUAUAAGUUAUUGCAUGUUUUUAUACAUAUAUUUAGGUGGGUUUUUAACUAAUCCCGUGUUGUGUUUGUUGCCGGUUUAGCCAAAGAAAUCUAACAGAAAUAUAUAGAGGUACUCAUCUCUAUGUCUUCGUCAUACAGGUAUAUUAAGAGGUUAACAAUUAUAGUUAUAGUUGUAAAAACUUAAGAAAUUGUUCGGUGAAUUUAAUCAUUUAUAAAUUGCUAACAAUUAAAUGAUUUUGGUUGGACAAUAGCUAGCAUUGAUACCUUAGAUCCCGAUUAAGCAAUUCAAGUCUAGAUCCAAUAGGAUUUGAGGAACAAAUUUUUUUGCUGAAUUCAGAUGGUAGUGUAUCAAAGAAAAGUAAAAUUGAGCAUAUUGAGAAGCACAAAAGGGCGUUAACUGUUACAGAAACAACUAUGGUUGAAAAAACUAUUUCGGUAAGUACAUAUUAAUUUAUAGUAUAUGGUUGUUGGAUGUAAAAUUGAUAGAAAUUGAAAGUUGAAAAAAAUGCGUAAGUUUGUUUUCAGAAAAUACAGGGAAAUAGUUAAAAAUGGUUUGUAUAAAGAUCAGAAAGUUGUAUUGGUAGUUGAUCCAUAAAUAGCUUUUGCAUAUAACUUUGAGAUCUUGUAUGUUGGUGGAAGCUGUAAUGAAAAAUUAAUAGUAAGUGGAUGGUUUGAGUAUAUGCUUUCAAAGAAGUUGUAAAUUGGAGAUAAAUUGGAGUUUAUUAGCUAUGAUAAAGAUGAAGAUAUUAUCAAUGUUACAAAGGUUGUAUAAAGUUUAUGUUAAAUUGUUGAUGACUUUAGUAAUUGAAUAAUGAUGAUGUAUUUGAUUAGAUUAUGUAAGUGUUAUUUUGAAAUUGUGUUAAAUGAGAACUGGGAAGUGAAUGUAAUUUGAUCUAUUGUAGUG